UUAAGUUCAGCGGGUAUCCCUACCUGAUCCGAGGUCAACCAUAGAAAAUUAGGGGUUGCUGGCCAGCAUCCACCGGGACUCUAUAGCGAGAAGAAUUACUGCGCUCAGAGCCCGACGGCACCGCCACUGAUUUUAGAGCCCGCCGGAUUAGCGGCGAGGCCCAAGACCAAGCAUUGCUUGAGGGUUGUAAUGACGCUCGA
rnacentral:misc_RNA from 1 species